rnacentral:lncRNA from 1 species
UUAGGAAACUGCCCAUAAAAUUAGCUUCUUCUUCUACAUAUCCUACCAAAUUACAUUGGUCAUUUUCAUGACCUUCACUAUAGUAAUCACAUGUCAGAGUUCAGUGUACCUAUUUACCUGUUGAUACCCCUUUUGUGGUUCAUGAAUUUUCUUGAUAAGUGCAUCAAGUCGUGUCUUCACAUGCUUGUGCAUGGAUAUGAGUGCAUUCCGAGUAUCAAUUGAUCGAGUUCCUUAUCUUCUCAAACCUCAGUGCAAUAGAGCUUAUAAUUCAUUUUGUGCCAUGUUAUAAAUCAACAAUUUUACUAUAAUUGUAGAUUUAUUCAACAUGGUUUCUCUUGCUGAAGCAUCCAAAAUCAUCAUAAAUUAUCUGCAAAGUCCUUUGGUACAGUAUUUUACAUGCGUAAAAUCAUCAAGAUUUUGUGAAUAACAACGUUUAAUUAUUAAUUUAUAUCUUUCUCAAGCAUCAUAUAGAGAUUCAAUGUCUCAUUUCUUAAAGUCGGUUAUGCCAGCCAUCUAGUCCACAAUGUUGUUCCCAUAAUAAAAUCUUGCAAAAAAAGAAACUUUUCUAAUUCCACCCAUGUAGUAAUGGUUUUUCUUAGCAGUGCCUCAAGCUAAUCUAAAUCUUUUUAUGUCAGUGUUAUUGAGAAAAGUCUUAAUCUCUUGUUUCUCUCUAAUAUCCCAGUUUUAAAUCUCACUAAAUGUUCGUAUGCGUCAAUUGAAGCACUUCCUUCAAAUGAGAUAUUCUUCAUAUCUGAAUGAAUUGAAAUUUUUAUCUCUAGUUACAUGGAUUCCCUGCUUGAAACUCAUAAGUCACUUCUUUGUCAUCUGUAUGACGUUCAAAAUCACCAAAAAUAUGAUUACCUUGUACAACCAUCUUUUCGUCUUGUUGUUUAGCUACUCAAGUACACAGAUAAAUGAAAAUUAAUUUUCAUGAAAACUUGCUUGUCUCUUUGGACAUGAAGCAACAACUCAUUUUUUGAAGUUGACUUUCAUCACCUAGAUGAUCCUAAAGAUGGGAAAAAGAAGUUAUCAAUGACGACUAGUCUCAUUUUAUUGGUUAACUACUAUAUCUUGACAAAUUUACAUUUGUUUGGAAAAACAUUAAAAAAUAGGAGUGACUAACAUACAUGUUUGCCUCGUUUAAGCCCAUCUUACAAAAGUCCGUAACAAAUAGGGCAAAAAUAACGAAUUUUGUUGAGGGUACGACUCUAAAAUCAUGGUUUGACCCCAAAAAAUAAGGGUGAGACAGUUCUACGGACACUGCACUUUUAUUGGAUUAGAGCGGAAACAUUAGAGCGGAAACAUUAUAAGUAAACAUUAGAGCGGAAAAAAAAUAUAUUAGAGGAUGAGAUUUUAAAAUCUAAAUUCAUCUAAAAAAAAUACGGAUAAAAUAAAUAUGAUUCACAAA